CGGCUGCGGGGUUCCUGGUGCUGAGGACGGACGCCAUUGGAGCCCCCGAGAAGAUCCCGCCUCCCAUUGGAUCCCGCCCCCUCCCCCUGCAGCUGCUUCACCCUCCCUCUCAGGCUGAGCUCUCAUCUCCCUGGGACCCGCAGCAUGGCUGAGGGAAGCUUCAGCGUGCAAUCGGAAAACUACAGUGUUGAAGACAUGGAUGAAGGUAGCGACGAAGUCGGGGAGGAAGAGAUGGUUGAAGGCAACGACUAUGAAGAAUUCGGUGCGUUUGGUGGCUAUGGCACCCUCACCAGCUUUGACAUCCAUAUCCUCAGAGCCUUCGGAAGCUUGGGUCCAGGUCUUCGCAUCUUAUCGAAUGAGCCCUGGGAACUGGAAAACCCUGUGCUGGCCCAGACCCUGGUGGAGGCAUUGCAGCUGGAUCCGGAAACACUUGCCAAUGAGACGGCCGCCCGUGCUGCCAACAUAGCCCGCGCCGCCGCCUCCAACCGUGCGGCUCGGGCCGCUGCCGCCGCUGCCCGUACCGCCUUCAGUCAGGUGGUCGCUAGCCACCGGGUGGCCACGCCGCAGGUCUCAGGAGAGGAUACCCAGCCCACGACCUACGCCGCCGAGGCUCGGGGGCCCACCCCUGAGCCACCCCUUGCUUCUCCGCAGACCUCCCAGAUGUUAGUCACCAGUGAGAUGGCUGCCCCCGGGGCUCCGGCAACCUCCGCACAGUCCCAGACAGGCUCCCAGGCCGAGGAGGCUGCUACCGAGGGCCCUAGUAGCGCCUGUGCUUUCUCUCAGGCUCCGUGUGCCAGGGAGGUGGACGCCAACCGGCCCAGCACAGCCUUCCUGGGUCAGAAUGAUGUCUUUGAUUUCACUCAGCCGGCAGGUGUCAGUGGCAUGGCCUUUCCGCGCCCCAAGAGACCUGCCCCAGCCCAAGAGGCUGCCACAGAGGGCCCCAGUGCUGCCUCCGGUGUGCCCCAGACGGGACCUGGCAGGGAGGUGGCAGCCACCCGGCCCAAGACCACCAAGUCGGGGAAGGCGCUGGCCAAGACUCGGUGGGUGGAGCCUCAGAAUGUUGUGGCAGCAGCUGCUGCCAAGGCCAAGAUGGCCACGAGCAUCCCUGAGCCGGAAGGUGCAGCUGCUGCCACUGCUCAGCACAGUGCUGAGCCCUGGGCCAGGAUGGGAGGCAAGAGGACCAAGAAGGUGAGAGCCCCCUGCCCCCUGCCACCUCCACACCCCCUUGCUCCUGUCCUUUCCUUCUCCUCCCUUUCCUGCUCCUCUCCUCCCUCUCCUCUCCCCCUUCUUCCUCUCUUCUCCUCUUUCCCCUCCUUCUCUCCUCACCUCCCCUUCUCCUCCCCUCCUCUCCUCUCAGCUAGUCCAUGUUUCUCCAACACAAGUUUGCUGAGCAUGUUUUCACUCCACGUAGUCCCUACCCUCAGGACUGGUGGGAGAAGAGGCUGGCUCAGUGCCUGGCACUUAGUAAGCACGCAGCACAUGCCAGCAGCUGCUGGUACUGCUCUCAUUUCCAAGAGCCUGCUACGGGUGAGGUGCGUGCCGGGUGCUUUGGCACGGGGAGCCUGGUAGCCCUGGGUCUCUCCUCUCUCGAAUGAUACAGUCCAAGCACCUGGAUGAUGAGUAUGAGAGCAGCGAGGAGGAGAGAGAGCCUCCUGCGGUCCCACCCACCUGGAGAGCAUCACAGCCCUCAUUGACGGUGCGGGCUCAGUUGGCCCCUCGGCCCCCGAUGGCCCCGAGGUCCCAGAUACCCUCAAGGCAUGUACUGUGCCUGCCCCCCCGCAACGUGACCCUUCUGCAAGAGAGGGCAAAUAAGUUGGUGAAAUACCUGAUGAUUAAGGACUACAAGAAGAUCCCCAUCAAGCGCGCAGACAUGCUGAAGGAUGUCAUCAGAGAAUAUGACGAACAUUUCCCUGAGAUCAUUGAACGAGCAACGUACACCCUGGAAAAGAAGUUUGGAAUCCACCUGAAAGAGAUCGACAAGGAAGAACACCUGUAUAUUCUUGUCUGCACACGGGACUCCUCAGCUCGCCUCCUUGGAAAAACCAAGGACACUCCCAGGCUGAGUCUCCUCUUGGUGAUUCUGGGCGUCAUCUUCAUGAAUGGCAACCGUGCCAGCGAGGCUGUCCUCUGGGAGGCACUACGCAAGAUGGGACUGCGCCCUGGGGUGAGGCACCCAUUCCUCGGCGAUCUGAGGAAGCUCAUCACAGAUGACUUUGUGAAGCAGAAGUACCUGGAAUACAAGAAGAUCCCCAACAGCAACCCCCCUGAGUAUGAAUUCCUCUGGGGCCUGCGAGCCCGCCAUGAGACCAGCAAGAUGAGGGUCCUGAGAUUCAUCGCCCAGAAUCAGAACCGAGACCCCCGGGAAUGGAAGGCUCAUUUCUUGGAGGCUGUGGAUGAUGCUUUCAAGACAAUGGAUGUGGAUAUGGCCGAGGAACAUGCCAGGGCCCAGAUGAGGGCCCAGAUGAAUAUCGGGGAUGAAGCCCUGAUUGGACGGUGGAGCUGGGAUGACAUACAAGUCGAGCUCCUGACCUGGGAUGAGGACGGAGAUUUUGGCGACGCCUGGGCCAGGAUCCCCUUUGCUUUCUGGGCCAGAUACCAUCAGUACAUUCUGAAUAGCAACCGUGCCAACAGGAGGGCCACGUGGAGAGCUGGUGUCAGCAGUGGCACCAAUGGAGGGGCCAGCACCAGCGUCCUAGAUGGCCCCAGCACCAGCUCCACCAUCCGGACCAGAAAUGCCGCCAGAGCUGGCGCCAGCUUCUUCUCCUGGAUCCAGUAAGAGUUUCGGCACCGUUGACGAACUGCAGCGAUCUUACUGGCCAAGCCAGAGCGCCUCCUCUCAGAUUCCUUCUCGACACAGCACCCUAGGCGGCUUCUUCCUGUCAGUCAGAGGUGGCAUGCAAGAUGAAGCUCUCUUUGCUCUUCCUGCUUUCAUUUUGCGCUUUUCCUUGUGCUUUCAUGUUUUGGGUAUCAGUGUUACAUUAAAGUUGCAAAAUUAA
rnacentral:sRNA from 1 species